rnacentral:tRNA from 1 species
GCCCGGGUGGCGAAAUUGGCAGACGCACUACCUUGAGGUGGUAGCGCUCGAAAGGGCGUGCUGGUUCAAAUCCAGUCCCGGGCACCA